UUUACGAUUUGAGUUUAGAAUUUAAGAUUUAGAAUUUAUAAUUUAGGAUUUGGUGUUUAAAAUUUAGGUUUUUGAUUUGGAGUUUAAAUUUUAGAUUUUUAGAGUUUUGGUUUUUGCUGACGGCGUUAACGUCGUGUUGUUUUUUCAACCAUUUAUUUUUAAAUUUUAUUACAUUUUUAACUAGUCCUACGUGGUAUUUUGGUUGGUUAUAAAAGUUGAAGUGAAUUUAAUAACCUAAAUUUUGUUCUUCUUUUUCUCAUGUUAUAGGUGAAAACAUGCACUCGUAUUGUAGACCCAAAAAAACAUGCACACGUACGUGAAUCUAAUGCAUUUGAAUCGGCGAAUAUGCCUUAUUAUUCUUUGUUUUUUGUUAAAACAAAUUUACAUGCGUAAUGAAUUUCUUUCCGCCCUCAUCAACUAAAGUGGAAGGACGUACUCUCAUAAGUCUCAUUGUUGGGUAAUUAAGCUCUGUCUUAAUCUUAAAGCAAGGUACGCAUAAAAAUAUCCGAAUCUGGUUUGCUGAUUAGAAAAUAUUAUACCCAAUGUUAUUGACCGAAUCUGUAAACUAGAUG
rnacentral:lncRNA from 1 species